GACGAACGCUGGCGGCGUGCUUAACACAUGCAAGUCGAGCGGUAAGGCCCUUCGGGUACACGAGCGGCGAACGGGUGAGUAACACGUGGGUGACCUGCCUCUAGCUCUGGGAUAAGCCUGGGAAACUGGGUCUAAUACCGGAUAUGACUCCACGGCGCAUGUUGUGGGGUGGAAAGCCUUGUGUGGCUAGAGAUGGGCCCGCGGCCUAUCAGCUUGUUGGUGGGGUGAGGCCUACCAAGGCGACGACGGGUAGCCGGCCUGAGAGGGCGACCGGCCACACUGGGACUGAGACGCGGCCCAGACUCCUACGGGAGGCAGCAGUGGGGAAUCUUGCGCAAUGGGCGAAAGCCUGACGCAGCGACGCCGCGUGAGGGAUGACGGCCUGGUGUAACUACUUC
rnacentral:rRNA from 1 species